AUGCAGUCGAGCGGACAGAUGGGAGCUUGCUCCCUGAUGUUAGCGGCGGACGGGUGAGUAACACGUGGGUAACCUGCCUGUAAGACUGGGAUAACUCCGGGAAACCGGGGCUAAUACCGGAUGGUUGUUUGAACCGCAUGGUUCAAACAUAAAAGGUGGCUUCGGCUACCACUUACAGAUGGACCCGCGGCGCAUUAGCUAGUUGGUGAGGUAACGGCUCACCAAGGCAACGAUGCGUAGCCGACCUGAGAGGGUGAUCGGCCACACUGGGACUGAGACACGGCCCAGACUCCUACGGGAGGCAGCAGUAGGGAAUCUUCCGCAAUGGACGAAAGUCUGACGGAGCAACGCCGCGUGAGUGAUGAAGGUUUUCGGAUCGUAAAGCUCUGUUGUUAGGGAAGAACAAGUACCGUUCGAAUAGGGCGGUACCUUGACGGUACCUAACCAGAAAGCCACGGCUAACUACGUGCCAGCAGCCGCGGUAAUACGUAGGUGGCAAGCGUUGUCCGGAAUUAUUGGGCGUAAAGGGCUCGCAGGCGGUUUCUUAAGUCUGAUGUG
rnacentral:rRNA from 1 species